CCAGACAGCCAGGAUGUUGGCUUAGAAGCAGCCAUCAUUUAAAGAAAGCGUAAUAGCUCACUGGUCGAGUCGGCCUGCGCGGAAGAUGUAACGGGGCUAAACCAUGCACCGAAGCUGCGGCAGCGACGCUUAUGCGUUGUUGGGUAGGGGAGCGUUCUGUAAGCCUGUGAAGGUGUGCUGUGAGGCAUGCUGGAGGUAUCAGAAGUGCGAAUGCUGACAUAAGUAACGAUAAAGCGGGUGAAAAGCCCGCUCGCCGGAAGAC
rnacentral:rRNA from 1 species